AGGUGCGAUCAUACCAGCGUUAAUGCACAGAAUCACAUUAGAACUCUGCAAUUAAUCGCGCUUGGUCUAGAGUAGUACUAGGAUGGGUGACCUCCCGGGAAGUCCUAGUGUUGCACCCU
rnacentral:rRNA from 1 species